UUUCUUUCUCUCUUUGUACACGCAACCUCCCCUUUCCUCCUUUCCCUAGGCUGCCGCCGCCACUGCCCCAGCUCCUCCGCCGCCCGGCACCACAGUACGCCGCCUCUAUCCCCGCCCUGAGCUCCGCCGCCUCCACCACCGGCUCCUCGCUGUAGUGCCAGCACCGGCCCGAACACCAGCUUCCUCACCCCUCCCUUUCUUCCCCGAGUACGGCAGCGGAAGGAGGAUUUGCCAGACUCAGGUCGACAUCGCGGCCGCUGUCCAAGGUGAGGAAGAGGAGUGCGGCGGCGAGCUCUUCGAGUCCGGGCCCUCGCUGCUUGUCUUCCUGCUCAUCAUCCAGGGCGGCGGCAUGGACCUCUCCUGCUACGGCGAGAGGCUGCUCAGCUCUGCGCGCUUCGCGCGCUCCCUCGACCUCCCCCCUCCCCGGCCCCAACCCCUUCCUGCUCGAGAAGAAAAUGGAUACUGCUGUCAUUCAGAAGGACUUGGGCCUUCCAGUUGGAGAAGCAAUAUUCGGGAAAACAGUGUGCUUUUCGUAUACUUAUCCUGGGGUUCGGAGCCAUUGGCAUGGAAAUUGCCAAGAGACUAAGACCAUUUGGAGUGAAAAUUCUUGCUACAAAAAGAAACUGGUCAUCAAAUACAGUGUCUUGUGAUCUUGAUGGGCUGGUUGACAAGAAAGGUGGUCCAGAAGAUAUGUACGAACUCGUUCGAGAAGCUGACAUAGUUAUAACUUGCAUGACGUUAAACAAUGAAUCAGUUGGGAUUGUGGAUCACAAGUUCCUGUCAGCUUUGAAAAAGGGAUCAUAUCUCAUCAAUAUUGCCAGAGGGCGCCUACUGGACUAUACGGCUGUGUUUAAUCACCUUGAGUCAGGUUGUUGGUGAUGUUGCCCUCAAGCUUCACGCGGGGGAGCCAUUCACCAAAAUAGAAUUUGUGAACUAGGCAAACUGAGUAGAUGGCGGCAUUGUUGAUUUAAUUUAAGACGUUCCAGUUUGAAGCGGACACCGUCGUCGUCCCUUAGAUUCCCUCCUCCACCGCAGAUCGACUCCAGUUGCGUCGACUCCCGCCGCCGCCGGGGUAUACUCCGCCAAGAUCGCGCCACCACCGCUGCUGCCACUGUUGAGGUUGGAGAUGCAGAGCUUGGUGCAGCAUAUGGAUAAGGCACGCCCAGUUUGACUUGCAUAAACCACUACACAACAUUAUAUGCUAGGAACGACGGGAUGCACGUCAGAAAACUUGUCAUGAAUGAUGCUUCAACGGAUGCUGCAGUCAUCUCAUCUCCGUCAGUCAUGAUGAAAAAACAUAUGAUAAUCCCCAUAAUCCAGUGUCAAUAUUACUGAUUUCUCCAUGUGCUAUGCAGCUUACAGGCAUGGAAAGAGAAUAGGAAAAACGAUAUACUUGCAGCUUCAGGCAGCAUUGAGUUUGCUGCACAUAGUUAGUUCCCUAGGGAAUGUUCAGUCUGGUGAAACAUGUUAAGAAGAAGUAUGGAAAUCCGCCUGUGUUCAUUACUAAGAAUGGCAUGAUAGGUUGAAAUAUGUCUUCAAGAUGAUAAGAGGAUACAGUACCACAACGAAUACAUGUUAGAUGCUAUAAGGUGAUUUCAUUUCUCUGUGCAUAUGCUAGAACUGAACCACCAACACUGAGCAUCAUCAAUGCGUGCCACUGUAAUCGCUGACCAGAUUGGUACUUAAGUGCUCGAUAUGCAGCCUGAACUACUGCAGUUAGAAUGGAGUUGUUUUAAAUACUAGACUAUCUACAGGACUGAGCGCUACAGGUGCAGAGGAUAGUUCUUUCGAUUAAUUGUCGUGUUGAGGCAAGUGCACGGCGGACCUUUUCUCCGUAUACUUGACUGUGUUGUUGACGCAGGUCUAUGAAAAUAAGUUGAGUAGUCUGACUAGAGGAUGACAGAGGACGUCGAGAUUUUGAUCCAGCAGCCUUGCCCCCUUUCGUCCGGCGUGCCGCCUGCAGGAGGUUACGUUCUAGAUCUUCAGAAUUUUUAGGUACUCACUCUCCCUUGAUGCUCUUUGAUCGAACCUACUUUGCAGGAAAGCGUGCCAGUAGUAAGAAGUUUUAGCAAGUCUGUUAUUGAAAGUGUUGUAGGCACUGAUGUGAUCCGAGGUGACCAACCUGAGCAGCAGUUUAGUGAAGGUGUUUGAUACAGUUCUCCUAAAAAGGGAGAAGUGUCUGAGGAAAUCUACUUGCUCUUUCAAGCUAUGAAUAUUUUAGAUCAGUAUAUUUUAAGGUUGUAAAGACUGAUGUGUCGGCUAAAGCUUAAAGAUCAUAAAUUCAUUGUUUACCCUACCAAGUUUAUUUCUCAUUGAAGAUUAUUCUAGAAACUAUAUUAUAAGCCCAUUGCUACUUUUUACAUGUAACUUAUGGUAUAUCCUCAUAUAUGUCAAGACUAUAAAACAAGUGUCUUCGUCCUGCUCA